GAAAUGCGAUAAGUAAUGUGAAUUGCAGAUUUCAGUGAAUCAUCGAAUCUUUGAACGCACCUUGCGCUCCUUGGUAUUCCGAGGAGCAUGCCUGUUUGAGUGUCAUGGAAUUCUCAACUCUAUUUGCUUUUGUGAAUAGAGCUUGGAUUUGGAGGUUUAUUGCUGGUACUUGUGAUCGGCUCCUCUUGAAUGCAUUAGCUCGAACCUUUGCGGAUCAGCUAUCGGUGUGAUAAUUGUCUACGCCGUUGCAGUGAAGCAUAUCAAUGGGCUCGGCUUCCAAUCGUCCUUUACUGGACAAUGACUUUGACCUUUGACCUCAAAUCAGGUAGGAUUACCCGCUGAACUUAAGC
rnacentral:misc_RNA from 1 species